CGCAUCUGUGCAUGCAGCAUAUCAAUAAGCGGAGGAAAAGAAACUAACAAGGAUUCCCCUAGUAACGGCGAGUGAAGCGGGAAGAGCUCAAAUUUGAAAUCUUAAAGGGUUUCCCUUUACGAAUUGUAGUUUAAAGAAGUGUUUUCUGUUGAGGUUUUGGUAAAAGUUCUUUGGAAUAGGACAUCAUAGAGGGUGAGAAUCCCGUAUUUGACCUUUACUUUCAACUUUGUGAUACACUUUCAAAGAGUCGGAUUGUUUGGGAAUGCAGUCCAAAAUGGGUGGUAAAUUUCAUCUAAAGCUAAAUAUUGGCGAGAGACCGAUAGCGAACAAGUACCGUGAGGGAAAGAUGAAAAGAACUUUGAAAAGAGAGUUAAACAGUACGUGAAAUUGUCAAAAGGGAAGCGUUUGACACCAGUGUUGCUUUUCUGAAAAUCAAUUAAAGAACUGUUUAUGCUAAGCUGUUUAGACUCUAUCAGCUAACUGUUUAGUUUUGAGCUUUUCUUUAAUGCACUUUUCAGUUAACAAGUCAACAUCAAUUUCGUUUGCUGUAAAAAAGCUUGAGGAAGGUGGCUUGAGAUUCGUCUUAAGUGUUUAUAGCCUCUUGCCUAUGCAGUCGGAGAGAUUGAGGUCUGCAGCGUAGAUCCUUCGGGGCUAAAUGCAUUUGUGUUAAGUUAUAGCAUUUUAUAGACAACUUGUUGACUAUGAUUUGUCUUGUAGCUUACUCGCUUAUGUUAUUUUACCUACGCUUAGGAUGUUGAGUCAUCACACAUCUCU
rnacentral:rRNA from 1 species